rnacentral:rRNA from 1 species
GAUGAACGCUAGCUACAGGCUUAACACAUGCAAGUCGAGCGGUUUGUGCUUUUGCACAUUCAGCGGCAGACGGGUGAGUAACACGUAUCUAACCUUCCCCUUACUUGGGCAUAGCCUCUGGAAACGGAGAUUAAUUUCCGAUGUGGUGUACAUUUCGCAUGUUUUGCGCACCAAAGAUUUAUCGGUAAGGGAUGGGGAUGCGCUCCAUUAGGUAGUAGGUAGGGUAAUGGCCUACCUAGCCUAUGAUGGAUAGGGGUUCUGAGAGGAAGGUCCCCCACAUUGGAACUGCGACACGGUCCAAACUCCUACGGGAGGCAGCAGUGAGGAAUAUUGGUCAAUGGCCGGAAGGCUGAACCAGCCAAGUAGCGUGCAGGAAGACUGCCUUAUGGGUUGUAAACUGCUUUUUUACGGGAAUAAUUAUGAUCACGUGUGAUUAUUUGUCAUGUACCGUAAGAAUAAGGAUCGGCUAACUCCGUG